AUUGAACGCUGGCGGAAUGCUUUACACAUGCAAGUCGAGCGGCAGCGCGGGGCAACCUGGCGGCGAGCGGCGAACGGGUGAGUAAUGCAUCGGAACAUGUCCAUGGAUGGGGGAUAGCCCGGCGAAAGCCGGAUUAAUACCGCAUGAGCCCGAGAGGGGAAAGUGGGGGACCGCAAGGCCUCACGUCGAUGGGUUGGCCGAUGCCCGAUUAGCUAGUUGGUGAGGUAAUGGCUCACCAAGGCGAUGAUCGGUAGCUGGUCUGAGAGGAUGAUCAGCCACACUGGGACUGAGACACGGCCCAGACUCCUACGGGAGGCAGCAGUGGGGAAUUUUGGACAAUGGGGGCAACCCUGAUCCAGCCAUGCCGCGUGCGGGAAGAAGGCCUUCGGGUUGUAAACCGCUUUCGGACGGAAAGAAAUCGUUCUGGCUAAUACCCAGGAUGGAUGACGGUACCGUAAGAAGAAGCACCGGCUAACUACGUGCCAGCAGCCGCCGUAAAAC
rnacentral:rRNA from 1 species